rnacentral:rRNA from 1 species
CACGUAGGGCGCAAGCGUUGUCCGGAAUUAUUGGGCGUAAAGAGCUCGUAGGCGGUCUGUUGCGUCCGCUGUGAAAACUCGGGGCUUAACCCCGAGCCUGCAGUGGAUACGGGCAGACUAGAGGUAGGUAGGGGAGAAUGGAAUUCCAGGUGGAGUGGUGAAAUGCGUAGAGAUCUGGAAGAACACCAAAGGCGAAGGCAGCAUCCUGGGAAGUUCCUGACGCUCGGGUGCGAAAGCCAGGGGAGCGAACGGG